ACUAGACCAGUCAUAUCCUACGGAGCAGGGUAAUGCUUCUUUGAACAAGCAAUUGGAAGAUAGGAGUCGUGAAAUGAGACAGCUGAAUGGAGAAGAGUUGGAAGGAUUGAACCUAAAGGAACUACAGAAAUUAGAAGAACGACUUGAUUCAUCCUUGAACAGUGUUUAUAAAGCCAAGGUUCAAAUUUUUUUAGCAGAGAUCACCAUACUUUCGCAG
rnacentral:sRNA from 1 species